AAGCGUGCGCAGGCGGUUAUGUAAGACAGAUGUGAAAUCCCCCGGGCUCAACCUGGGAACUGCAUUAGUGACUGCAUAGCUGGAGUACGGCAGAGGGGGAUGGAAUUCCGCGUGUAGCAGUGAAAUGCGUAGAUAUGCGGAGGAACACCGAUGGCGAAGGCAAUCCCCUGGGCCUGUACUGACGCUCAUGCACGAAAGCGUGGGGAGCAAACAGGAUUAGAUACCCUUGU
rnacentral:rRNA from 1 species